rnacentral:rRNA from 1 species
AUUGAACGCUGGCGGCAGGCCUAACACAUGCAAGUCGAGCGGAUGAAGGGAGCUUGCUCCUGGCUUCAGCGGCGGACGGGUGAGUAAUGCCUAGGAAUCUGCCUGGUCGUGGGGGAUAACGUCCGGAAACGGGCGCUAAUACCGCAUACGUCCUGAGGGUGAAAGUGGGGGUUCUUCGGACCUCACGCUAUCAGAUGAGCCUAGGUCGGAUUAGCUAGUUGGUGGGGUAAAGGCCUACCAAGGCGACGAUCCGUAACUGGUCUGAGAGGAUGAUCAGUCACACUGGAACUGAGACACGGUCCAGACUCCUACGGGAGGCAGCAGUGGGGAAUAUUGGACAAUGGGCGAAAGCCUGAUCCAGCCAUGCCGCGUGUGUGAAGAAGGUCUUCGGAUUGUAAAGCACUUUAAGUUGGGAGGAAGGGCAGUAAGUUAAUACCUUGCUGUUUUGACGUUACCAACAGAAUAAGCACCGGCUAACUUCGUG